rnacentral:rRNA from 1 species
GACGAACGCUGGCGGCGUGCUUAACACAUGCAAGUCGAACGGAAAGGCCCUGCUUUUGUGGGGUGCUCGAGUGGCGAACGGGUGAGUAACACGUGAGUAACCUGCCCUUGACUUUGGGAUAACUUCAGGAAACUGGGGCUAAUACCGGAUAGGAGCUCCUGCUGCAUGGUGGGGGUUGGAAAGUUUCGGCGGUUGGGGAUGGACUCGCGGCUUAUCAGCUUGUUGGUGGGGUAGUGGCUUACCAAGGCUUUGACGGGUAGCCGGCCUGAGAGGGUGACCGGCCACAUUGGGACUGAGAUACGGCCCAGACUCCUACGGGAGGCAGCAGUGGGGAAUAUUGCACAAUGGGCGGAAGCCUGAUGCAGCAACGCCGCGUGCGGGAUGACGGCCUUCGGGUUGUAAACCGCUUUCGCCUGUGACGAAGCGUGAGUGACGGUAAUGGGUAAAGAAGCACCGGCUAACUACGUGCCAGCAGCCGCGGUGAUACGUAAGGUGCGAGCGUUGUCCGGAUUUAUUGGGCGUAAAAGGCUCGUAGGUGGUUGAUCGCGUCGGAAGUGUAAUCUUGGGGCUUAACCCUGAGCGUGCUUUCGAUACGGGUUGACUUGAGGAAGGUAGGGGAGAAUGGAAUUCCUGGUGGAGCGGUGGAAUGCGCAGAUAUCAGGAGGAACACCAGUGGCGAAGGCGGUUCUCUGGGCCUUUCCUGACGCUGAGGAGCGAAAGCGUGGGGAGCGAACAGGCUUAGAUACCCUGGUAGUCCACGCUGUAAACGGUGGGUACUAGGUGUGGGGUCCAUUCCACGGGUUCCGUGCCGUAGCUAACGCUUUAAGUACCCCGCCUGGGGAGUACGGCCGCAAGGCUAAAACUCAAAGGAAUUGACGGGGCCCCGCACAAGCGGCGGAGCAUGCGGAUUAAUUCGAUGCAACGCGUAGAACCUUACCUGGGUUUGACAUGGAUCGGGAGCGCUCAGAGAUGGGUGUGCCUCUUUUGGGGUCGGUUCACAGGUGGUGCAUGGCUGUCGUCAGCUCGUGUCGUGAGAUGUUGGGUUAAGUCCCGCAACGAGCGCAACCCUUGUUCACUGUUGCCAGCACGUUAUGGUGGGGACUCAGUGGAGACCGCCGGGGUCAACUCGGAGGAAGGUGGGGAUGACGUCAAGUCAUCAUGCCCCUUAUGUCCAGGGCUUCACGCAUGCUACAAUGGCUGGUACAGAGAGUGGCGAGCCUGUGAGGGUGAGCGAAUCUCGGAAAGCCGGUCUCAGUUCGGAUUGGGGUCUGCAACUCGACCUCAUGAAGUCGGAGUCGCUAGUAAUCGCAGAUCAGCAACGCUGCGGUGAAUACGUUCCCGGG